GCUCCGCUCCUUGGAGUGGGGAUUUAGUCCCUGACAGAUCACAUCUACAUACAUAUACACACAUAUAUAUAACUGUAGGAAUCAAGUCUUGGGCUUUGUUUUCAGUACUGGCACCUUCAGUGCACCAUCAGCACUUGAUUCUGCUGUUUUUCUCUCUGCAAUAGAGUCCCCUUUGAUGUUUCCUUUUGGAGAAGAACAGUGGUGGGCUGCAGGUAAGUUGACUGCUGUGAGAUGCACAAGGAAACUCCUCUACACAACUUUUCUUGCUGGCAGGCAGUGUGGACGUGAGGCCAUGGAUGUGUUUUCAGCUGUCCCAGGACCUCCUGAUUUUAUCAAGUGGCAGCACUGAGUGCCCAAAGAAAAGUCUGAUUUCAUAUUCACAAGACAACAAAACGCUUUGUCAAGGGAUUGUCCUCUGUUAAUCAGGGCUUACUUCAGAUUCCUAACUUCUGAGGAGGCCAAGACAAAGCUAUGUCCUUUGGUGCAUCUUCAUAGGGUUCCCCUGGAGAAUGUCUGAGGCAAGUUUCAAAGACAGGCAUUUCUGCUCUGUCAGGUUUGCAGCUGGGUGAAGUUGGGUAACUUGUUUUCUUGGUUCAUUCCAGUGAGUGAUGCAAACACAGGAGACAACUGCAGCUGCACCAGUGCUCACCGCCGUGUUCCACAUCCAGCACACAAGCAGCGUUCCAGUUCACAGAGGGCACCGGUUCCUCCUGGCAUGCCUGAGCUGCAGAACUGCUGGAAAGAGCCACAGCCUGGAGUGCAAUGAAGGAAGAAGAGAGCUUUUUUGGCAAUGUGAAUUCAGCUGCCUCGAGAGCAACACCCUCCUGGGCUUCUGCUUUCUGCCCAAGCCCCACAUGCAAUGCUGACAGCCGGUGUGCCCAGGACCCAGGGACGACUCUCCAUCGGCCUCCUUGGAGCGGAGGCUGAGGCCUCUUCCCUCGUGACACCCGGCUCAGCCCAGCCCGGGGGAGGCGGGGGAGCAGGAGCGCGCCGCAGACGUAUUGCUGGUGUAAAUUAGAUCAGACGGUUACUGCUGCCUAUAAAGAGGUCUGUGUAACUGCAAGUGCACCACUCCAGAGACAAACGCGGUGAGUUUUUAUCAUUGUAAAACGAAGAGGAUGUCCUAUUUAGUAUAAAAGGUUUUAGAGGAUAGGUUACAGUCUGGUAAUGAAAUCCAAAGGACAUGGAAACAAGAUAGUUUAUAUCUUUCAUCCCCGUUUAAUGGAUUUGGGGGCUCGUUUUUGUUUUUUAGAAGUACAUGUUGGGGAGCUUUACCUGCUGCUGCUAAACAGAAAGGGAGUAAGCCAGGGGCUGUGAGCCUUGCUCUUGGAGCAGUGCAUGUGUAAUAGUUUUGCAUAGUACAUAAAUUAGACUCCCGCAUCCUAAAUUACUGUUUAACAUGCAUUAGAGAACAUGAAUAUUUUAAUGGGCAGAACACAAUAGGAGAGAGCUGCUACCCACCGUGCUGUCGGUGAGCUCUCAGUUCUCACUGGUUAUCACCGCCACCAGACACAGGCACCCGAGCGGCUGCAGGGCU
rnacentral:lncRNA from 1 species